UUAGUCCUUUGUCCUCUCUGAGAAGUGAACGUCACAUUGCAGUAGUUAAGCCUGUCAAGUCGCAGUGAAGUGCAGAACAGAGUACCUAUCUGGGAUUGAAUGAGCUUAAAUUGAGGGGCAUUUCUCGAUGCUGUCCUCUGUCUUCGAGGUGGAACUGUUUGAGAUGGGGAUUUGGUCUCUGGGUCUGGGGGCCUUAGGAGCAGCCAUCGCAGGGAUCUUCCUGGCUAAUACUGACCUGUGUCUGACCAAGGCUGCUCAGGCCUCGCUGGAAUACCUGGAGGACGCAGACCUCCACUCCACUGGAGACGAUGAGAAGACCAUGAAGGCCAAAACUCUGUGGGAGAAGACCGGAGCAGUCGUCAUGGCUGUACGACGGCCCGGAUGAUUUUUGUGCAGAGAGGAGGCCUCUGAGCUGUCCUCUCUGAAAACCCAGCUUGAGGAUCUUGGUGUCCCUCUGGUUGCCGUGGUGAAGGAGAACAUCGGCACGGAGAUCCAGGACUUCCGACCAUACUUUGCUGGGGACAUCUAUGUAGACGUGAAGCAUCACUUCUAUGGCCCACUACAGAGGAAGAUGGGAGGGCUGGGAUUCAUCCGUCAGGGGGUGUGGCAGAACUUCAUGCGGGCCUGGAAGGCCGGUUACCAGGGCAACAUGCUGGGGGAGGGCUUUGUCCUGGGAGGUGUGUUUGUCAUCGGAGCGGGGAAUCAGGGUAUUCUUUUGGAGCACAGGGAGAAGGAGUUUGGCAACAAAGUGGAGAAUGAAGAUGUUUUAGAGGCUGUGAAUAGAAUUGUGCCAGUGCAAUAGAUUUGAGUUUUUGUAAGUAGCAUUAGUUCAACACUGAUAGAGGCCUCAGACACAUCUACUUGGUUAUUUCCUGCAUUUGUCUUUUCUCAAUUCCAUUCAAAACGGAACCUUAUGCAAACAACAAUGCAAGUGUUCUUGAGUUUGUAUGAUUACAAAACGGCAUUUUCCAUAUGUCGUUCACAUUGGUUAACCUUUGAGUUCUCAGAUUGCUAGCUCCACCUAUCAUAGGACAUAUGAAACGUGUCACUUCCUCGAUAAAAAUGUGCACUUCCUGCACUCAUAAGUACAUUGGAAAAUGAAUGUGUAGCUUAUCUUUUUUCUCUAGAUGUGGAACCUCCCAAAUUGUACAAACUAGAUGUGUUCUAUAGCCUAAAGGCCUUGGUCAGGUCGUUAUUGUAAAAGAAUGUGUUCUCAUGUCUUACCUGGUAAAAGACAUUCUCAGUCAGGGACCUUACAGGAUGCACUAAACUGUGAGAACACUUGUACAUUACUCAUCCUUUGGGAAAGAGAAGUAGUGUGUUUCACGCUUUUAUUGAUGUCUCCAAUGGAGUCGAACACAACUUGAAGAAUGCAUGGUUCUCUAUGCCAGUGUUUCCCAACCCUGGUCCUCGAGAACCCCCAACAAAAAAGUAAUACUUUAUUGUAACCCUGGCCAAGCACACCUGAUUCAACUUGUCAACUAAUCAUCAAGCCCUCAAUGAGGUGUGUUUGUCCAGGUCUACAAUGAGAAUGUGUACUGUUGGGGGUACACGAGGACCAGGGUUGGGAAGCACUGCUCUAUUCAUCUGGAUUCUAUGUAUUUCAUGUUUACCUGUGAAUGAAUGUGUUACAUGUUCAGGUACUCAAGCGUGACUUGUGUGUAGUCUGUGUUAUUAAUGAAGACCUGACUGUAAACUCGGCAACGAGGGGAGCAGGUUCGAUAUCCAAACACACACUGCCUCACUAUGGCCAGGGUGCCUGAAACAGGUCUGUAUGAGAAUGCAAAGCACAAUAAACCCUAGACCUCGUCACACCAUCA